CCGUUAAAUCCUUUGGCGCAGACACAUUUUCCAUCUAGUUUAUAUCCUCCGUUCUCACAAUCUUCUAUUGGAUACGUGCACUGAGGACCGACAUAAUCUUCAGCACAGAUACAGUUCAUCCAAUCAAAGUAUCCACCAUUAUCACAAUCUGGAACAUAUUACAUGUGUGGGCUAGAGUAUGAAUAAAGAUAUUACAUAAGCAUUGAAUAUCAAAAUAUGGCUUUAUGUCACACAGACCUUGAAUACACAUUAAACAUGCAAAAAUGUGCCACGUUUUAGGAAUACAGCUGAUUAUAUAAAGAAAAA